rnacentral:sRNA from 1 species
CGUGUAUUUUGUUCGCCAGGUGACUCUAUCGCGAAAAGAUAACGCCACCCACAAGCCUUGUGGGGUUGCUGGGUGCCAAAGGCCGCACGGCCGCGCGCGGGACGAUGAAACACGGUGGAAAGAUCGUAAUACGGCUAGGGGGGUAAGAUUCAGGCAAUCGACGCCGCUGGAGAGGAGAGGUGGUGCGCAGGAAGAGGAUGCGUUAGGCGUGGGGAAUGCGAGUUGGUUGGUGUUGGUCGUCGAAGUCGUUAACUACCGUUGCCGUUGUCGUUUUCGUUGUGUGUGGUCGUCGCCGUCGUCGAGGUAGUAUUUAUUAUAAGCUGAUAAGAUGCCUCGCUAGGUAGGUGGAGAAUCACAGAGAGCCAAAUCGUCGAUUAACAGAAGAGGCUAGUGAGUGAACGUGGUAACUAUUUAAAUAAUCAGGCUGAGAUCAAGCAGCUGUGGCUUAGCGUUGCAGCGUGCUUGUGUGGAGGUUGGCGAGAAGUCGGUUGUCGCUGUCGCUGUCGCUGUCGCUGUCGCUGUCGCUGUCGCUGUCGCAAGCGGAGCGGAGUUGCGGGUGAGAUUGUGUGCGAAGAAGCGUGCAGAGCCUUCUGGGCUUUGGAAGAGCUGGAAGAGCGAACAGCCCGCUCGCUCCAUCCCAUCUGGGCGUGGAGCAGUACGCUCACACUCUCGUACACAGUACGGAGUAGAAACGGCUACUAACUAUCGGAGACAGACUUUUCAUUAAGAAGUUCUGAACAUACUGAUCUCUUCAUCAAUCAAUUGAUAAAUUAUAUGCCCAGGUCAGUCCCUACAUGUCGUGAGUGUAUAAAUCGCUUCUGAAGAACCAGUUCUGGAUAUUUUAUAAUUUUAAUUAAGUCCUCAAGCCCUCGUAACCUUGGGCUCUAAAACGUCUCGACGCAAGAAAGAGAAAAGCAAGAUUGUUGGGGGGGG